CAGUAGCCGCGGGAAUACGAAGGGGGCUAGCGUUGCUCGGAAUGACUGGGCGUAAAGGGCGCGUAGGCGGCGAUCAAAGUCAGGCGUGAAAUUCCUGGGCUCAACCUGGGGGCUGCGUUUGAUACUUGGUUGCUAGAGUGAGGAAGAGGGUCGUGGAAUUCCCAGUGUAGAGGUGAAAUUCGUAGAUAUUGGGAAGAACACCGGUGGCGAAGGCGGCGACCUGGUCCUUGACUGACGCUGAGGCGCGAAAGCGUGGGGAGCAAACAGGAUUAGAGACCCCAGUAGUCCCUGUCUCUUAUAC
rnacentral:rRNA from 1 species